rnacentral:rRNA from 1 species
CAAAGAGAAGCGAAGCGGUGACGUGGAGCAAACCUCAGAAAGCCAAUCUCAGUUCGGAUUGUAGGCUGCAACUCGCCUACAUGAAGUUGGAAUCGCUAGUAAUCGCGAAUCAGAAUGUCGCGGUGAAUACGUUCCCGGGUCUUGUACACACCGCCCGUCACACCAUGGGAGCCGGUAAUACCCGAAAUCAGUAGUCCAACCUCGUGAGGACGCUGCCGAAGGUAGGAUUGGCGACUGGGGUGAAGUCGUAACAAGGUACC